rnacentral:rRNA from 1 species
GAUGAACGCUGGCGGCGUGCCUAAUACAUGCAAGUCGAGCGAACGGACGAGAAGCUUGCUUCUCUGAUGUUAGCGGCGGACGGGUGAGUAACACGUGGAUAACCUACCUAUAAGACUGGGAUAACUUCGGGAAACCGGAGCUAAUACCGGAUAAUAUUUUGAACCGCAUGGUUCAAAAGUGAAAGGCGGUCUUGCUGUCACUUAUAGAUGGAUCCGCGCUGCAUUAGCUAGUUGGUAAGGUAACGGCUUACCAAGGCAACGAUGCAUAGCCGACCUGAGAGGGUGAUCGGCCACACUGGAACUGAGACACGGUCCAGACUCCUACGGGAGGCAGCAGUAGGGAAUCUUCCGCAAUGGGCGAAAGUCUGACGGAGCAACGCCGCGUGAGUGAUGAAGGUCUUCGGAUCGUAAAACUCUGUUAUUAGGGAAGAACAUAUGUGUAAGUAACUGUGCACAUCUUGACGGUACCUAAUCAGAAAGCCACGGCUAACUACGUG